UACGCACACUUUUAAAACCUGGCACCGCUGUCGGUGUUACGGCGUCGGAUGUGUGCAAUAGUAAUCUGGCCGGGUUUUCGCUAACAUCAGUAGGACGGCUGGUCCCAUGACUGGAGUUUGAUAGUGACCUGAGCCACAGUG